ACGCAAUUGGUGUAUCGGUAACAUUAGCGUUUCCCAUCAAUCAAUCAAGGUACGCUAGCAGAGGGUUCGACUCCCUCAUUGCGUA